rnacentral:rRNA from 1 species
GACGAACGCUGGCGGCGUGCUUAACACAUGCAAGUCGAACGGAAAGGCCCUGCUUGCAGGGUACUCGAGUGGCGAACGGGUGAGUAACACGUGGGUGAUCUGCCCUGCACUUCGGGAUAAGCUUGGGAAACUGGGUCUAAUACCGGAUAGGAGCCAUCUUUAGUGUGGUGGUUGGAAAGUUUUUUCGGUGUAGGAUGAGCUCGCGGCCUAUCAGCUUGUUGGUGGGGUAAUGGCCUACCAAGGCGGCGACGGGUAGCCGGCCUGAGAGGGUGUACGGCCACAUUGGGACUGAGAUACGGCCCAGACUCCUACGGGAGGCAGCAGUGGGGAAUAUUGCACAAUGGGCGCAAGCCUGAUGCAGCGACGCCGCGUGGGGGAUGAAGGCCUUCGGGUUGUAAACUCCUUUCGCUAGGGACGAAGCUUUUUUGUGACGGUACCUAGAUAAGAAGCACCGGCUAACUACGUG